UUAAGCGACUAAGCGUACACGGUGGAUGCCCUGGCAGUCAGAGGCGAUGAAGGACGUGCUAAUCUGCGAUAAGCGUCGGUAAGGUGAUAUGAACCGUUAUAACCGGCGAUUUCCGAAUGGGGAAACCCAGUGUGAUUCGUCACACUAUCAUUAACUGAAUCCAUAGGUUAAUGAGGCGAACCGGGGGAACUGAAACAUCUAAGUACCCCGAGGAAAAGAAAUCAACCGAGAUUCCCCCAGUAGCGGCGAGCGAACGGGGAGCAGCCCAGAGCCUGAAUCAGUGUGUGUGUUAGUGGAAGCGUCUGGAAAGGCGCGCGAUACAGGGUGACAGCCCCGUACACAAAAAUGCACAUGCUGUGAGCUCGAUGAGUAGGGCGGGACACGUGGUAUCCUGUCUGAAUAUGGGGGGACCAUCCUCCAAGGCUAAAUACUCCUGACUGACCGAUAGUGAACCAGUACCGUGAGGGAAAGGCGAAAAGAACCCCGGCGAGGGGAGUGAAAAAGAACCUGAAACCGUGUACGUACAAGCAGUGGGAGCCUCUUAAUGGGGUGACUGCGUACCUUUUGUAUAAUGGGUCAGCGACUUAUAUUCUGUAGCAAGGUUAACCGAAUAGGGGAGCCGAAGGGAAACCGAGUCUUAACUGGGCGUUAAGUUGCAGGGUAUAGACCCGAAACCCGGUGAUCUAGCCAUGGGCAGGUUGAAGGUUGGGUAACACUAACUGGAGGACCGAACCGACUAAUGUUGAAAAAUUAGCGGAUGACUUGUGGCUGGGGGUGAAAGGCCAAUCAAACCGGGAGAUAGCUGGUUCUCCCCGAAAGCUAUUUAGGUAGCGCCUCGUGAAUUCAUCUCCGGGGGUAGAGCACUGUUUCGGCAAGGGGGUCAUCCCGACUUACCAACCCGAUGCAAACUGCGAAUACCGGAGAAUGUUAUCACGGGAGACACACGGCGGGUGCUAACGUCCGUCGUGAAGAGGGAAACAACCCAGACCGCCAGCUAAGGUCCCAAAGUCAUGGUUAAGUGGGAAACGAUGUGGGAAGGCCCAGACAGCCAGGAUGUUGGCUUAGAAGCAGCCAUCAUUUAAAGAAAGCGUAAUAGCUCACUGGUCGAGUCGGCCUGCGCGGAAGAUGUAACGGGGCUAAACCAUGCACCGAAGCUGCGGCAGCGACGCUUAUGCGUUGUUGGGUAGGGGAGCGUUCUGUAAGCCUGCGAAGGUGUACUGUGAGGUAUGCUGGAGGUAUCAGAAGUGCGAAUGCUGACAUAAGUAACGAUAAAGCGGGUGAAAAGCCCGCUCGCCGGAAGACCAAGGGUUCCUGUCCAACGUUAAUCGGGGCAGGGUGAGUCGACCCCUAAGGCGAGGCCGAAAGGCGUAGUCGAUGGGAAACAGGUUAAUAUUCCUGUACUUGGUGUUACUGCGAAGGGGGGACGGAGAAGGCUAUGUUGGCCGGGCGACGGUUGUCCCGGUUUAAGCGUGUAGGCUGGUUUUCCAGGCAAAUCCGGAAAAUCAAGGCUGAGGCGUGAUGACGAGGCACUACGGUGCUGAAGCAACAAAUGCCCUGCUUCCAGGAAAAGCCUCUAAGCAUCAGGUAACAUCAAAUCGUACCCCAAACCGACACAGGUGGUCAGGUAGAGAAUACCAAGGCGCUUGAGAGAACUCGGGUGAAGGAACUAGGCAAAAUGGUGCCGUAACUUCGGGAGAAGGCACGCUGAUAUGUAGGUGAAGUCCCUCGCGGAUGGAGCUGAAAUCAGUCGAAGAUACCAGCUGGCUGCAACUGUUUAUUAAAAACACAGCACUGUGCAAACACGAAAGUGGACGUAUACGGUGUGACGCCUGCCCGGUGCCGGAAGGUUAAUUGAUGGGGUUAGCGGUAACGCGAAGCUCUUGAUCGAAGCCCCGGUAAACGGCGGCCGUAACUAUAACGGUCCUAAGGUAGCGAAAUUCCUUGUCGGGUAAGUUCCGACCUGCACGAAUGGCGUAAUGAUGGCCAGGCUGUCUCCACCCGAGACUCAGUGAAAUUGAACUCGCUGUGAAGAUGCAGUGUACCCGCGGCAAGACGGAAAGACCCCGUGAACCUUUACUAUAGCUUGACACUGAACAUUGAGCCUUGAUGUGUAGGAUAGGUGGGAGGCUUUGAAGUGUGGACGCCAGUCUGCAUGGAGCCGACCUUGAAAUACCACCCUUUAAUGUUUGAUGUUCUAACGUUGGCCCCUGAUCGGGGUUGCGGACAGUGUCUGGUGGGUAGUUUGACUGGGGCGGUCUCCUCCUAAAGAGUAACGGAGGAGCACGAAGGUUGGCUAAUCCUGGUCGGACAUCAGGAGGUUAGUGCAAUGGCAUAAGCCAGCUUGACUGCGAGCGUGACGGCGCGAGCAGGUGCGAAAGCAGGUCAUAGUGAUCCGGUGGUUCUGAAUGGAAGGGCCAUCGCUCAACGGAUAAAAGGUACUCCGGGGAUAACAGGCUGAUACCGCCCAAGAGUUCAUAUCGACGGCGGUGUUUGGCACCUCGAUGUCGGCUCAUCACAUCCUGGGGCUGAAGUAGGUCCCAAGGGUAUGGCUGUUCGCCAUUUAAAGUGGUACGCGAGCUGGGUUUAGAACGUCGUGAGACAGUUCGGUCCCUAUCUGCCGUGGGCGCUGGAGAACUGAGGGGGGCUGCUCCUAGUACGAGAGGACCGGAGUGGACGCAUCACUGGUGUUCGGGUUGUCAUGCCAAUGGCACUGCCCGGUAGCUAAAUGCGGAAGAGAUAAGUGCUGAAAGCAUCUAAGCACGAAACUUGCCCCGAGAUGAGUUCUCCCUGACUCCCUGAGAGUCCUGAAGGAACGUUGAAGACGACGACGUUGAUAGGCCGGGUGUGUAAGCGCAGCGAUGCGUUGAGCUAACCGGUACUAAUGAACCGUGAGGCUUAACCUU
rnacentral:rRNA from 1 species